UUACUAAGUGUGUUUAAGGAACAAAAUAACACAUUAAUUUCCUUAAGAGAAAUUAAUUUUCGAAAGGCUUCUUACAACUUCUUUAGUGUAUAUUUUUAAAAAAAUUAUUAGGAGUGCAGUAUCCCUACCCAUUAUAAAAUGAUCAAAUCUUGUUCUAUACAAUACAUCAAAAGAAGAAAAUAUGGCUGCUAUUCUCAAGAUUGUUUAUCUUGUGGUUCUUUUUCUUUUCAUAUUUCUUGUUGCAAUGAACAUUGACGCAUUGGAGGAAUGUAUUCGUAAUUCUGAUUGUCCAAGGUGUGGUCCUCAAUGUACUAAGAGGUGUGUCAAUUUUAAGUGUAAAUGUCUCAUCCCAAGUGCACUUUGAGUGCCGAAUCCAAGAGAGAAUAGUUUGUCUUAAAUAAAUGAAUCAAUUUGUACUUCAAAAGAAAUUUAUGUAAUAUUGAUUCCUCAAUAAUAUUUCUCAAUUAUCAUU